AUGCAAAUUAAAGCUACACUAAGAUACCAUUUCAUACCUAUCAGAUUGGCAAAAAUACAAAGCUUGACAAUAUAUUCUUGCUAAGGCUGUGGGGAAACAGACUCUUUCUUACACACUGCCAGCAGGAAUGUAAAACGGUACCACCUCUUUGGAGGGCAAUUUGGCAAUUUCUGUUGAGAUUACAAACGCAUCAAUCCUUCGAUGCAGCAAUUCUACUUCUGGAAAUUUAUCCUGCAGCUGGUACCUGCUACAGUCAAAAUGACGUGUGUACAAGGUUACACACCACAGCACUGUUUUUAAUGGUAAAUGAAUGGAAACAACCCAUGUUGUUUUAUCUAUAGGGAACUGGUAGAUAUAGUUAUAAUACACCAGGGUUACUCAACAUGUGGCCAUGGGCCAAUAGCAUCAGUAACACCUGUGAGCUUAAAAACACGCAUUCUUGGGCCCUACCCCAGGCCUAUUGGCUCAGAAACUUAAAGUAGAAAUCUGUAUUUAACUACACCUCCAGGUGAUGCUGACCCAGCAAAAAUUUAAAAAAUAUUUAUGUAAGCAAUAGAGCGAUUUAAAAACAUCAGAGAGAAAUGAAAUCAAGAGCAGGUAAAACUGUAACUGAGAGAUUUAUGAAUCAGAAUACCAGUUACUUUAGGAGGGGUGCUGACUGGAAGGGGCAGAAGGAAGCUGGGGUGCUGUAUCUUGAUCUAGGCUAGAGCUGCAUUAAACCUCAAAACACAUUUUUAGAAAGUUGAUGACGCUCUCUGCAUAUUGAUAUGAAAUGAUAUCUAGGAUACAUUAUUUGGUGGAGAAAAAAGCCAGGUACAGAAGAAGCAUAUAGUAUUCCAUCUUUUAUGUAAGAAAGGGCAGGAAAGAAAAAUAUGCAUUUGUAUUUGCAUAAAGCAACUCUGGAUUGCCAGUUAAGAAAUUCUUGGGGCGGGGGGUGGGUACACAAGACACAACAGGGACUGCCCACAGGGAGUAGGGGUGUGAAAGGGACGGAGGGCAGGGUGGGAACAAGACUCUCUCCCUCUGUAGUCAUGGACUGGAUGGGGCACAGGGAAGCUAGGAAGUGGGAAAUACUCUAUCUUGGUCUAGGUUCAAUCGGUACAAAAAACCUUGACCUAGGUUAGAGCUGUACAGGAAAGUGUUUUAAUACAGAUUUAUACUUGAACUGUGUGAAUGUAUUUCUAUUCAAAAAACAAUUUUUAAGUAAGUCUUCAAAUUCUUCCUGCUUUGUACAGAUAAAGUGGUGUCUUCUUCUCUACCUUGUUGCUCUAUUUUUUUUUUCUUCCAUAGGGAGCGAGAAUGGGCAUGAAAAGACCUGGAGCUCACUUCUGGAGCCAUCAGUUGUCUGUCAUAUGACCCAGGGUCCCUCUGUCUCAGUUAACCCUUCUGAACAAUGGGAUAAAACCAUCUACCUUUUCUCACAGAGCUACACACUGUAAGGUGCUAUGCAAAUAGAUGAAAGUAUUAUGCCUACUUCCAACAGAAACAAUCAGACGCUAAAGGAACAGAAGAGUCACUUGCUCUAUCCAUGCAUGAUACUGAGCACCUCUCAUGGGAACAUUUACUCUUCAGAGUAAUCCCGGGAUUAUCUCCAUUUACUGACAUGGCAGCUGAGGCAUAGAGGUUCCCAGGUGGUGCCGAUGGUGUUGGUCUACGGAAAAUCUGAGUAGCAAGCCCUUCAGAGGACUCCCAGGGCUUCCUGUCUACAAGAACCACUGGGGCUGAGGGAGUGGUCAUCACUCUGGAUUUUGCAGAUGCAAGAUGGAGAUCCAGGUGUUAAGUGUUUCACCCAAGACCAUUCAGCGUUAAGUGUUUCACCCAAGACAAUUCAGCAAAUUAGUAGCACAACCCAAGACAACCUUGUGGCUAAAUGCUUAGCCCAUUUGGGCUCACCUGUUCUAGAUCAGAAAGGAAGCCAGCAGGCCUGGAGUCUGCCUGUGGGAAGAAUCAAACUUUUCUUUUCUGGCCUUUAUAGUCUAUACAUUUCUGAUCACACACUAGAUACUUUGUGGUAGUUUAAUUAGAAAGAAGACUCAGAGUGUGUAAUGGUAAGACCAGAAAACACAUAUUUUAUUCCUUGCCAGAACCGAGCAGGGUGGAUGGUUGUGGCCAGUUAAAUUUGAAUUUCAGAUGAAUGAUGAUUAAUUUUCUAGUAUAAUGCUAUCUCAUACAUAAUUUGGGACGUAAUUAUACUUUUAAAAAGAUAUUUAUUGUUUAUCUGAAAAUUUAACUGGCAGUCCUGAAUUUUUAUUCGCUAAUAGAAAGGCAAGCAGGAAUGAGGAGAGCAGAAGUUAGUAAAGGAAUAUUUCCUGCUUCAUCACUGUUGUCCUUAAAGAAAACCUCAAGGACGCCAGGGUGGCAGGGGCUCCACCAGGAUGCAUAAGAUGCAUCACUGCCACUACUGUGUGCAUCUCUCUGAAUGAAGCUUAAUCUUUUUAACCAGCUGAUUAUAAUGCACAAAAUCAUAAAUUUAUAGCUGGUGUUGUGAGCUAAACUUGUGUCUCCCUCACCUCCACCAAAACUCUUGUUGAUGUCCUAACUCCCAGCAUCUCAGAAUGUGACCUCAUUUAGAAACAGGGUCUCUGCAGAUGUAGUUAGUUAAGAUGAGGUCACCGUGGAGUAGGUUGGGCCUCUAAUCCAAUACGACUGUGUCCUUAUGAAAAAGAGAAAUUUGGACACACAGACUGACACGCACACAGGGAGAAGUCCGUGUGAAGACUGACACUUCACACGCGAAGGAACUACCAGAAGCCAGGAGGGAAGCCUGGACUAGAUCCUUCCCAGAGCCUUCCAAGGAGCGCGGCCCCUCUGCUGGCCCCGUGGUCUCGGGAUUCUAGAAUCCAGAACGCUGGGAUGGUAAAUUUCUAUUGUUUCAGCCACUAGGUUUGUGGUACUUUUGUUACACCGGCCCUAGGAAACUAAUACUGGGAGCUGGGAAGACGAGAAAGGAGUAUAGAAGAAGAGGGAGUUACAGCAAAACAAAACCAUCAAGAAAAAGCCUCAUCCACAUUACUUAUUAGCUUUGUUCCUUAGAACUUGAAAACAUCCGCUGAGGAAGACACAGGGAGUUGGAAAUGAUGGACCCCCUUGUAUGAAAACAGUUACUGGCUCUACUAAAAUUCAGUUUUAAAUGUUGAGUUGAGCAAGCUAUACACUACUUAAGGAAGAAACCUUAGAAGUCAGAAUUUACCCUGGUUAUGCAAAAAAAAAAAAAAAAAAAA
rnacentral:lncRNA from 1 species